GACAGAGGGUGCAAACGUUGUUCGGAAUUACUGGGCGUAAAGCGCGUGUAGGCGGCCCUCGCAAGUCGGGUGUGAAAUCCCACGGCUCAACCGUGGAAGUGCACUCGAAGCUGCAGGGCUAGAGUCCUGGAGAGGAAGGUGGAAUGCUUGGUGUAGAGGUGAAAUUCGUAGAUAUCAAGCGGAACACCGGUGGCGAAGGCGGCCUUCUGGACAGUGACUGACGCUGAGACGCGAAAGCGUGGGGAGCAAACAGGG
rnacentral:rRNA from 1 species